AUUGAACGCUGGCGGCAGGCCUAACACAUGCAAGUCGAGCGGAUGACGGGAGCUUGCUCCUUGAUUCAGCGGCGGACGGGUGAGUAAUGCCUAGGAAUCUGCCUGGUAGUGGGGGACAACGUUCCGAAAGGGGCGCUAAUACCGCAUACGUCCUACGGGAGAAAGUGGGGGAUCUUCGGACCUCACGCUAUCAGAUGAGCCGAGGUCGGAUUAGCUAGUUGGUGAGGUAAAGGCUCACCAAGGCGACGAUCCGUAACUGGUCUGAGAGGAUGAUCAGUCACACUGGAACUGAGACACGGUCCAGACUCCUACGGGAGGCAGCAGUGGGGAAUAUUGGACAGUGGGCGAAAGCCUGCUCCAGCCAUGCCGCGUGUGUGAAGAAGGUCUUCGGAUUGUAAAGCACUUUAAGUUGGGAGGAAGGGCAGUAAGUUAAUACCUUGCUGUUUUGACGUUACCGACAGAAUAAGCACCGGCUAACUCUGUG
rnacentral:rRNA from 1 species